UGAUUGGACAACAUACCCGGAUAUGAAGGUCCUAAUUGACACGUAAGUGAGAAUGUUCAAAAAAUUUCUUAGUUUAUGUGAAUUGUUCUAAUUGCUUCAUUUUUAUUUUAUUAGCGUCCUACAAGCUUUUCGGGCCCAACGAGAUAUCCAAACCUCAAGGAGGGGCGCCAACUCCAUUACAUGGAUUAAAGUGGCGUGUCCUCAACAACGUAAUCAAAUAGAUUGCGGGUAUUUCAUGUUGAGGUUUAUGCGAGAUACUCUUGCUUUGGGCCGAUUAAAGAUUCCCACCGAUUACUUUGAUGAAUUCAAGUGUGCAUUUUAUACAAAGGAUCAAGUGGACGAAAUCAAAGAGGAGUGGUGUCAAUUCAUGAUAAAGCUCAAUGUUUGUUCAUAAAUUUGUGUAAUUAAUGUGUACAUUUGUAGUAUAUGUUAUGACUUGUAAAUGUGUACAUAAAUUUGUAUAUAUUUUGAUACAUUUAAGGCAAAAUUGGUUUGAA